GUAGCUCAAUUAGGUCUANCGGUUGAUCAAACCGAAUCAAGAGUUGGUUAGAUAAGAUCAUGAAAGCUAAUAAUUGACCAGCCUAAUAGGAUUAAGUCUGGGUCAAGGUUGAAUCACAUUUAGAUGUGACUCGAUCAAGUUAAGACCUAAUUUGGCUCAGUGGUUAGAGCCUGGAUUGUAGGCUAACCCCAUUAGUUCUGGUUCAACAAUUUGGUGUCUAAGGUAAGUUGGGCAGAUGCGACCGAUUGGUUUUUAAUUGGGAGCUACUCGACUCGAAUACGUUCUUGUCGAGUUAAUGGCAUAUCCCUCCCACC
rnacentral:lncRNA from 1 species